CUUUCAUGCUAGCUCUACUGUAUUGUUACACUUUGUGCUGCUGCUGCUCAUCUAGCAAGCUAGCUAACUCUAACAUGUAGAAUUGCUUUCUGAAAGGAUAAUGUGUUUGGGGCCGAUAUUCCAGGACUUUUAUGUCUUGUUAGUAGUUUAUCACACCAGGUGUAGCUUCAAAUGCACACUUCAAGACCUGAGGAGGAGUACUUUAACUUUUGGUAAGAAUGGCAACUCUUCUCAAAGAUUCUUCUCCUCUAACAUAUCACUGCUUCACUUGACCAAGCUGGACAUCCUUUGCUUCAUGCAGUGAGUUGAAAGCAAGUUUCAAAGGCCACAAAGCUCAGAUCUCAGCAGGGCACAUGUUUCUCACCAUGUGAGGCUGCAUGUGUUGGAACACAUGUCAGUGCUACAGUGCAGAAAGAGGCUGGGAAGCAAGACAUCUUCACUACUAACCUUUGGGAGGAAAAGUAAAGAAAGGCCGGUAUUCCUAUUUCUUAUCUCCUUUAUUCUUAUCUGCCUUGUUUUCUUCAACUGUCCUCUCCCCACGGAGUGGUCUUGUUCUCCUCACUUGCAGAUGAUGUGGUUUCGAGGGCUGGAGCUGAUGCAAAGUGACGUGUCUCCCCAUCACAGGAGUGGAGCUGAGGCUGGGCCUCACUUCCCCCGCACUGGGCUGUUUUUGUUCACCGCAGCUCAUGCAGAUAAUUUGCCGGGAUGCAGUGGAGGGCUGUCACAAGGACUUGGCUCAAGGGGUGUGGGAAAAUAGCAGAAGCGUCUUCCAUGCUCAAACCCUGCCUUAAUGAUGAGCAUUAAAUAUGAACAUCUUCUUUGUGCAAGCGAUGCAUUAGGCAUCCUACAUGUCCCUCUCCUUGCUUUCGCUUUUUCUCUCUUUUGGUCCCUUCUUUCCAUCCCUGAUUCUUUGCAGCCUUGUCUAGAAUGUUGUUUGAGAAUCAGUUGAAUAAUCCGACUGACAAGCAGCCUUUAGGUCAGGGCAUCUCUGUUCAGAAAAUAUUCUCAAUUCUUUGUGAAAGCACAGCACAAACACAGCUCUGCACGACUGAGCUAAUGUUCCUUUACAAAUGCAACUGAAAUGACUAGGUAGACAACAGUGGCUUUGUCUUGGCAUCCUUUACCAUUCGCUUAUCUAUUCGAAGGCUUUUAAUGUGAUUGUCUGAUUGUCAUGUCUAUCUUUGUAGCACUGCUAGCAUAUAGGACCAUACCAAAUGAUAAAUUAACAGGCAGAAAGCUCCUUCAUACCUUACUGAUCAGAGACAGCAGUCCCAGUUCAGUUGAACAAGUCUGUGUAGAAUUGUUACAAUGACAGUUACAGAUAAAGUGAUCUCAGGGAACUAAGGAAGAAAACACACCACCUUCCCUUAAAAUAGACCUCCCUGGGUACUGAAGCAAAGGACAGAGUGACAUUGUGAAUGCUAACAUCUGUGCAGAACCUUGCAGUACCAAAUGCCCCAACCCCAAGUUUGAGCAGACUCUACCGUCAUCCUCUGAGGAGCAGCCAUUUUGGAAGGCUCUCCCGGCACAGAUGUUGCAUAUUAAAAUGUAGGGCUGUUUUAGCAGAGGAAAUGCUGUGGAGAGAGGGGGCUGCUCCUCUGUGGGCCUCACCUGUGCCUUCAUCCAAGAAGCCAAUCCAAGAGAGGGUACUGUUUAACCAACCAAAAACAAAGUGACAUUCAAGAUAAAGUCACUCUGCCGCCUCUUUGACCCUGGGAGGCUGUGGACAAAUUAUUUCACACAUGAACAUACCUUGUUUACAACAGAGACAAUUGAUUCACAUGCUAGUUUCAAGAAAAUAAUUGCUGUUAGUGUUACCAUAUAGAUGCACUGAUAUACCUUAGCCAUAUGUGUUUCUGGAACUUAUAUAAAGAGUAAUAACUAUUAGUCAACAACAUAAAGAGGAUCAAUGCUGUGACCCUGCCUGACCAGUGCUUAAACAGGCAAUGAACAUUUGACCCACAACAUCUCUCAUAAUGAAACGAACAUUGUCCACAAGAUGGAGAUAUUCACCAGUUUAAUGCUGAGCUCCGACCUGGCUCCGCAUGAAACAGACAGACGGGAGAGAGAGAGCCCGAGAGAGUGAGGGAGACACAGAGGAAGAGAUGCACUACAUGGCUGUGUGUGACAGAUUGUGUUUGCAUGAGGCAGUAUGUGAUGCCUGUAUAAUGUUUGAGUGUGUCUCUUUGUUUAUGUGUACAGUGUAUGUGCCUGAGUGAGAAGGUGUGUGUUUUUGAAUAGUGCGGCGCUCUCCAGCUGAGGUGUUGAGGGGGCAGAGUGUGCUAACAGAGAGGUUGUGAGUGGUCCCUGAGCUUAUUGGCGGGGGUCCCAGGGGCCCAGAGCAGAGAAGAGGUCAAAGCAGGUCGGCUGUCCUGUGCGGUGCCGGGCCCUGCGGCCCACUGUGUGUGCAGGGGAGGGUUCAGGUGUGUGUUGACCUCUUGCUCCAGCGGGCUGUAAGUAAAGAGAAUGAGGUCUGCUGCUUUUAUCCAGGAGGCAAGCUGCUGCUGCAGGAGGCCUUACCCGGACCAGAAGAGGCCUUUAUCCUCUUCAUCCCACCUUUACCUCCACCUUUAGAGCCUGUGGAGGGUUCAGCAAAUCCACAGUCACCACCAACCUUCAGCAUCAAACAACAAACCAAUAAAUGAAUGGCAUUGCUUGCAAAAAUCCUCCAACACUAGUACUAAAAGUUACCAGGCAGUUUUUUAAAUAUGUGUGUGUGUGUGUGUGUAUGUGUGUGUGUGUGUGUGUAUGUGUGUGUGUGUAUGUGUGUGUGUGUGUGUAUAUAUAGAUUUGUGCUGACCUGCCGAUUAUCGGAUAAACUGAUCAGUAGAUAGACAGAAAAAUUACAAUUUUGAUAGUUUGUUAUUUGUGUCAUUUAUCGAGCAAAACUGCCAAACAUAUUUUGUUUUCAACUUGUCAAAUAUGAGGAUUUUCUUCUUUUCUGUGUUUUAUGUGAUAUUUUGUUUUUUAAUGAUCAAUCAAUGAAUCAAAACAUGAUAAACAACAACAGAAAGAAAACAAUCAUUGCAGUUGUAGCCAUAAUACAUGCAGUAUGAUUAUUCAUUUGUUACAAGUAAACCAAUAAACAUGCUUCAUUAUUCUGCAGUAUCACUGGAUUGGAAUCACUGGAUUUUCAUUUAAAUUGGAUACAGAGAUACAAUUGUUCUGUUACAGCAUAAAGUGCAGUACAUUUUGAUACUUUAUAACAUGUUUAAAAUAGCAGACCCAUUAAGAAAAAGAAAGAAAAACUGAAUGUCAAAAAUACCAAUCAAAUUCAUUCUUGUCAGUGAACACUAAGCUCCAAAACAUCAUUAAAGAGGCUGCCUUGAUCGCCAAGAAUAUCUUUGCAAAAAAGGCCGUUUCUCUCAUGCAGCAUAAUGAUGAAAAGCCAUUGUAAUGAUUCUACAACAAUGUUACUGCAUAUUCUUUUAUGUGGGUUGCAGUCAUUUUUUCUUCUCUGUGAUUGUGUCUUUAUAUGAGUCAUUCAAGGAUGCCAACUAGCUAAUUCAGAGAACUGUCAUAAUAGCUUCUGUGGACAGUUGAGUGCACACACCUUGUCCAUGGGUGCAUUAAUUAAGAUGGUUGCUUGAAACCACUAGCAAUUAAUGUACUGUAUCAACAAGCACAGUGCACCACAAUAGUGAAUGGUAGCCAAAUGGUAUUACUGCAAUGGCACCUGGUCCUCAAUAGGCAUUGUUUGGCUACCUUUUGUGCCCAUGUAGUGUGACAUAUUGCCCUCAAGCAUUGACCAUCUGACCAGGGAGAGGGCUGAAAUGCUAGGCUAAUAAUAGGAGAGCAUAGCCAGGCAAAGGAUUCUAGUAAUUAUGCCCCACUGUGGGACAUGAUGGGUGAAAAGAGGAGAGGAUAGGGCUAAGAGAGAGAAGACAAUGGUGACAAAAAAAAGAGAGCAAGUGAGAGCAUCAGUUGAGUUGGUAUUACACACCACAACUAAAGAAACUACCACUUUUUCUGAUGCAAGAGGAUGACAGUCAGAACAAGUACUGGUUGGUUAGACUUAGAGGUUAAGAUAGCAAGGACAGUCAAAGUACCAGAACUGGAUCAACACACUUCAGCCUGAUGUGGAAGAGUUGGGGCUCCUGGUCAGUGCAGCGUAUAUGUUCAAAUCAGGCAUAAAACGUGAUAGGCCAUUUCCAGGAUCUGAAGCCAAGGUCUUGGCAAGAGUCUGUCUCUCUGGGUUACACAGACCUGCCCUUGAACUCAGUUCCCAGGGAAUAGACUCAUUCUCUCUUGAAAAGUGGAGAAAGGAAGCUAUUAUCUGACACAGCCUGUGGAGGAGACGCUGGGCGAUGAUAGAGAACUCAGCCAGGAAAAUGAGGCCGAAGCAGACCACCAGACCAAAGUUUGUUUGCACAGUGACUUUCAUAUUGUUUGUGUUUGUGUCCGUGUGUGCUCUGCUGUGCAUGUGAACAUGUGUGUGUGUGUGUGUGUGUGUGCUUAAUUUGCUGUAUCACAGUGUAUGUGAGCCCCUCACUGUGAGCAAAGGAAGGAUGCAAUUUACAUUUUUGUGCACAUGUACAGGAGCAGCAACAAAUAAA